AAAAACUUGCCAAAAAGGAAGGGGCUCGGAUAGACCGUAAUCGUGACAUCGAACGCUUAUGGGAAUUUUAUCAGCAAUACAAAAGGCGGCACAAAGUGGACGAUAUUCAAAGAGAGGAGCAAAAAUGGCGUGAAUCUGGAGCAGUUAGUGCUAAUAUAGGAGAGUUGGGACUUAGAUUUUCUGAAAUGAGAAAGGUAUUCGCUACCUUGAGGGCUGUGGUUGAAGUGAUGGAGUAUCUGAGCAAAGAUGCAGCUCCUGAUGGUGUGGGAAGGCUUAUAAUGGAGGAGUUGAGAAGGAUCAAGAAAUCUGAUGCUACUUUAUCGGGGAACUUGCACCAUACAAUAUUGUUCCUCUAGAGGCACCAUCGUUGACCAAUGCUAUUGGUUUCUUCCCAGAGGUUCAGGGUGCCAUAUCAGCAGUUAAGUACACUGAGCAGUUCCCUCAGCUACCCGCUGGUUUUGAUAUUCCUGGACAGCGGCAUAUGGAUAUGUUUGAUCUUUUAGAAUAUGUCUUUGGCUUUCAGAAAGACAAUGUAAGGAACCAGCGCGAGAAUGUCAUCCUCAUUGUUGCAAAUGCCCAGUCACGACUUGAGAUACCUGUUGAGGCAGAUCCAGUGAGUUUUAAAU